rnacentral:lncRNA from 1 species
AGGGGCAACGUCGCGCGAUAACCUCGGAGCAAAUCCGGUCUUCGCUGAACCUCCGCGAUCUCCUCCAACGGUCACUGAAGAAAUCUAGGGUUUUACCACUUACUCUAUUUUCGUUUCACACACUCUGUUUUUCGUUUUUAUUUUGCUAUAUUAGGUUCUUGUUUUACAACAAUCCCCCACAUAUUGCAAAAGAUAAAACAUAGAAAUAUUGAAAGAAAUUAAUA